rnacentral:rRNA from 1 species
GACGAACGCUGGCGGCGUGCUUAACACAUGCAAGUCGAACGGAAAGGCCCUGCUUUUGUGGGGUGCUCGAGUGGCGAACGGGUGAGUAACACGUGAGUAACCUGCCCUUGACUUUCGGAUAACUUCAGGAAACUGGGGCUAAUACCGGAUAGGAGCUCCUGCUGCAUGGUGGGGGUUGGAAAGUUUCGGCGGUUGGGGAUGGACUCGCGGCUUAUCAGCUUGUUGGUGGGGUAGUGGCUUACCAAGGCUUUGACGGGUAGCCGGCCUGGGAGGGUGACCGGCCAAAUUGGGACUGAGAUACGGCCCAGACUCCUACGGGAGGCAGCAGUGGGGAAUAUUGCACAAUGGGCGGAAGCCUGAUGCAGCAACGCCGCGUGCGGGAUGACGGCCUUCGGGUUGUAAACCGCUUUCGCCUGUGACGAAGCGUGAGUGACGGUAAUGGGUAAAGAAGCACCGGCUAACUACGUG